rnacentral:rRNA from 1 species
CGUGUAGGCGGCCUGGUAAGUCAGAUGUGAAAGCCCAGGGCUCAACCCUGGAAGUGCAUUUGAAACUGCCAAGCUUGAGUAUGGGAGAGGAGAGUGGAAUUCCCAGUGUAGAGGUGAAAUUCGUAGAUAUUGGGAGGAACACCCGUGGCGAAGGCGACUCUCUGGACCAAUACUGACGCUGAGACGCGAAAGCGUGGGGAGCAAACA